UAUAUGGGGGAUAAAUGGUGAUGGAAAUAGCAUAAUAAAGGGGAAGAAUAAAUGUAUAUAAGGAAUUCAAUAAUUUUAAGUGAGCAAUUCAAUCAGGUGUAAAAGUAUUUUUUGCUUAAGUGCAGCAGCAUAAGGUCUAUGUGAUUAUUUUUAUUUGUAAAAGUUCUGAUUGGCUACUGCAAAGGCAAUCUUAGGAGAUAAACAUACAAGUGUAAUAAAAUCAAUUCCCCUAUCAAUUAAAUAUUAAUUUUUCCAUUCACAUCUCUUAGUUUUUACUGUAUUGAGUUAUAGCAACCAAAAAGUAAUGUAAGUUACUACUGCUUUGUAAUUGGUUAAUAUUCCAUCAGUUAUAGUUACUUAAGAGCUUUAAAAUUUUUUGUUUCUAUGGUUCUUCAGCUAGACACUUGCACAUAAAAACAUUCAGAGGGGUUCCUUCUUAAAACACUACUUUUAAUUUCCAUUAACGUGUUGCACCGUUAGAAUUUGUCUUGCAUAGGUAAACUCUUUAUAACCAGGACACUUAUAAUCCAAGAUAUUAACAUUCUUCAUACAGGGAGGAACAAGCACUACUUAAGGUUAAAAAGAACAGAAUCCUGUCCUAACUCUGUAUCAUCAUUAAAUGGAUUUGGAUAUAUUCUAGAUCAAACCACAUCCCCUAAAGUUUUAUCACACACCAUAAAGCCUGACAUACGGGUUGUUGUUCUUAUUCCUCAUACUGGCACCGAUAAUCCCCUGGGCACGUAAUCCAUGAAGAUAGACACAGACUAACAUCAAACCAAGUACUUUUCAAUGAUAUUCUAAGGUCAUGUCUAAAAGAUGCAUUUCCAGUGAGGGUGGACACAAAUCCUUGUGUGAAAAAUGUUCUUUAAAAAGAUGGGCAUGGUGCCAAAGAAACUUUUGUUUCAGCAGAAAAUACCGGUUUAAAAUAAAUGCUGCAAAGAAAUAGUUUAUCAACAGAAUGAGUGCUUAUUUAAUCAAUUAAGCUGCACGUCAGUGUAUUGUUGGUUUGCUGGAACACAUGCUGGUGGGUACAAACAUGUCCCAAGUCGCAUACCCAUCAGAUACAAAGGAACUGGGAACACUUAGGAUGAGGGGUCAAUGCGCUAUCUGGUGACACGUGUGCCUGAGUCUUUCCCACAUCGUCAAACUGUGGAGCCACUUCUAAAGCACUGAAUCUUCAAGCCAAGAGUCUCAGAUCUACACGUUACACCUUGAUAAAAUGCUGCCCUUCAGGAAAACUCUGGAAACUGCACAGUCUGGGAUGGGACUCAAUGAAAAAUUAUUCAUGAAACUUCCACAAUGUGCCUCGUCUUUGAAGUUAGCUAAUGAGCCCACAUGUUACUCUUGAGAUGCCCAAUUUUACACUUUCACGGUAAAAAGAUUUCAUAAAAGACACAGACUUUAACAGAAAA